AACAUCAGUUAGUCUGUGCAUUGGUCCUGAUAAUAAGAGUCUAGUGUGGAAUAUUGGACAGAAGUUCCCAGUAAAGUCCCUGGAAGUGUCCCUCAAUGUUACUGUGACAUUCACUGAGUUUCCUAGUGAAGAGGAGGAGGAGAGAGACAAAACUGUUGAUGCAAAGUUUUGUGUUGAGCAGAACAGCCAUUGUGAGUUGAAUUUCAAGAUUUCUGAUUUCACUCUCAGUGGCUGUCAAAUUGAUCCUCGCUCAAUCACUUUGUUCCCAUCAAUCAAAUACAAACUAACAUUAGGAAGAGAGUUGGUGUCCUCAGGUUACCGUAUAUGGAAUUCACAUGGUGAUGCACUGGGAAUACCUUUCAUUAGGAAUGAACCAGUUGAAGAAAUGAUUAAUUAGUACUGAUAAUGACACUGAAGGAUUAGUGUUACCUUGUUUGUUGUGGUUUUUUAUACAUGAUUAUUAGUAUUGCUACAAUAA